rnacentral:tRNA from 1 species
GGGCUGAGGCUCAGUGGCAGAGCGCUUGCCUCGCACAUGUGAAACACUGAGUUCGAUCCUCAGCAGCACA